rnacentral:rRNA from 1 species
AGUCGGACGGCAGCGGGGUAGUGCUUGCACUACUGCCGGCGAGUGGCGAACGGGUGAGUAAUAUAUUGGAACGUACCGAGUAAUGGGGGAUAACCAAUCGAAAGAUUGGCUAAUACCGCAUACGCUCUGAGGAGGAAAGCAGGGGACCUUCGGGCCUUGCGUUAUUCGAGCGGCCAAUAUCUGAUUAGCUAGUUGGUGGGGUAAAGGCCUACCAAGGCGACGAUCAGUAGCGGGUCUGAGAGGAUGAUCCGCCACACUGGGACUGAGACACGGCCCAGACUCCUACGGGAGGCAGCAGUGGGGAAUUUUGGACAAUGGGCGCAAGCCUGAUCCAGCCAUGCCGCGUGUCUGAAGAAGGCCUUCGGGUUGUAAAGGACUUUUGUUAGGGAAGAAAAAGGAGCGGUUAAUACCCGUUUCUGCUGACGGUACCUAAAGAAUAAGCACCGGCUAA